GUUCCUCUCAAAACAGUUUCUCUCUCUUUCUCUCUCUCAGUGAUUUCAUUGCAAAAAUCUCUCCUUUUACAAACCUCUCUCCUAAAAUCAUCCUCUCCCAAAACCGGCUCUCUCUCGUAGAGAUUUCAUUUUGAAAAUCUCUUCAGUUUGUUUCUCUUUUGUAGAUUUCCAAUCUUUGAUUCUCGAUUGGAGUUUUCAGUGGUUGCCGCUACUGGAGAUGCCCGGGUAUGGAAGAAGAACCGGAAGCAACAUUAAUGAGGGACUAAGAUGGAUUCACGAUGAUGGCUGUAGAUGGGUUUAGCAAUUGCGGGCUGCAAAUGUGGCACCGGAGAUGAAGAUCCGAACAAGGUUGGUUGUCGUCGGGCUGAAGAUUCAGCACACCUUGCUAAGAGUUGUUCUGAUGGAGGUGGGGGAGCUACACAUGAUGCUCUGAUCUUUGUACUGAGUUAUUUGGGUGUGCGGGAUCUCCUCGCUGCUAAAAGGGUUUGCCAAUCCAUGUGUUCGGUAGUUUAGAACGAUGCUCUCCUGUGGAGGGGAGUCCAUAUAGAUCAGCUGUUGAGCAAGAGGAUUACUGACUAUACUAUGUGUCCGACCUAUCCCUUCUCCUUCAUUGUCCCUAAAUGUAUCAGAGAUGAAGAAGUACUACAGGCUUCUUCCUUGCGUGCAAGCUGUCGGCUGCCUGUAAUUUCUUGGUGUUAUUAAGGUUUAUGCUAAAUAACACUAUUUUGUUUCGCCUGAUGUGUCUUAUGCCUUUUCCCAAUCAUGAUUGACCUAAUGAUAUUUAGGAACUGUUUUAGUAUUUCUAAUCAACAUAAAUCACAUGAUAUAUUUAGGCACUAGAGUUGUUCUUGCACAUUCAUCCCAACCUUUAGUUGGUCUCAUGAUGAAUUCAUGAAGGUAAUCUAAUUCAAGUGGUUUAGUGUCUGUAAGUCACACACAUUUUUGGAUAAUUGUUGUUGUUAAGAUGUAAGUGGCUAGAUAAUUGGAUGAAUCCACUAUCCAUUAAUAGUGACACAUCAUCAUCAUCUCAAGCUGAACACAACUAAUUGGGCUUGGGCUACACGAAUCAUGUUCUGCAAUUCAUAGGACCACAUUUCUUCUCUUAUUUUGGUUGGAUUCUUGUGAUGAAUUUUUUGCGAUCCUCUACUUUAAAUUGUUCUACAGCAAUGCUGAUGAAAAUCUUGUCGCAGCCCUUUGCACUCAAAAUGGUGGUGAGAGGGGACAACGAAGGUUAUCUUGGAAGUGGCACCUGAGACUUUGUAUGAUAAGAUUUCCGGGAAAGCUUUUAAAGGGUAGUUAUCGAAAUAUCCUCUCAUCAGUGUGGCAGUUUUGUUAUCCAAGCAUUAGUUUCUUCUACAAGAUCCAAAGGUCGGGUAUAUGCUAUAACAUUUCCAUUCAUUUUGGAGAUUUUUUUUUCUUUUCUUUUUUCUUAUGUUGUUUUGAAGUCCUAAUUGAGCCAUGAUGGACAAUUCCAUUCUUUUAGGUAAGGUUACUGGUACUGAUUGUAUAUAUAUCUCUGAUAUAAUCUGUUGGCAUAUUGUAACCCUGUUCAUCUAGUGGAAGCUAUGUUUUCAAGAUUGCAGGAGUAAGUUAUGACAGACAAUCAAUUUUAAACUACUGUGAUUGCUAUUUUGCUAUUAUUUUCCCAAUCACAAUGAUUUCCUAAAUGGUUUUACUUCAAAAUCAUAAUGCUUUUACAUAUGCCCAAGUGA